GGGGAAUUUUCCGCAAUGGGCGAAAGCCUGACGGAGCAACGCCGCGUGAGGGAUGAAGGCCUCUGGGCUGUAAACCUCUUUUAUCAAGGAAGAAGAUCUGACGGUACUUGAUGAAUAAGCCACGGCUAAUUCCGUGCCAGCAGCCGCGGUAAUACGGGAGUGGCAAGCGUUAUCCGGAAUUAUUGGGCGUAAAGCGUCCGCAGGCGGUCUUUUAAGUCUGUCGUCAAAGCGUGGAGCUUAACUCCAUUUCUGCGAUGGAAACUGGGAGACUAGAGUGUGGUAGGGGCAGAGGGAAUUCCCGGUGUAGCGGUGAAAUGCGUAGAUAUCGGGAAGGACACCAGUGGCGAAGGCGCUCUGCUGGACCAUAACUGACGCUCAUGGACGAAAGCCAGGGGAGCGAAAGGGAUUAGAUACCCCUGUAGUCA
rnacentral:rRNA from 1 species